rnacentral:rRNA from 1 species
AUAGCGAGAAAGAAACUAACAAGGGAUCCCCUAGUAACUGCGAGUGAAGCGGGAAAAGCUCAAAUUUAAAAUCUGUCAGUCUUUGGCUGUCCGAGUUGUAAUCUAGAGAAGUGUUAUCCGCGCUGGACCGUGUACAAGUCUCCUGGAAUGGAGCGUCAUAGAGGGUGAGAAUCCCGUCUUUGACACGGACUGCCAGGGCUUUGUGAUGCGCUCUCAAAGAGUCGAGUUGUUUGGGAAUGCAGCUCAAAAUGGGUGGUAAAUUCCAUCUAAAGCUAAAUAUUGGCGAGAGACCGAUAGCGAACAAGUACCGUGAGGGAAAGAUGAAAAGAACUUUGGAAAGAGAGUUAAACAGUACGUGAAAUUGCUGAAAGGGAAACGCUUGAAGUCAGUCACGUUGGCCAGGGAUCAACCUUGCUUUUGCUUGGUGUACUUUCUGGUUGACGGGUCAGCAUCAAUUUUGACUGUUGGAAAAAGAUCAAGGGAAUGUGGCAUCUUCGGAUGUGUUAUAGCCCAUGGUUGCAUACAAUGGUUGGGAUUGAGGAACUCAGCACGCCGCAAGGCCGAGUAAUUUUACUACGUACGUGCUUAGGAUGCUGGCAUAAUGGCUUUAAUCGACCCGUCUUGAAACACGGACCAAGGAGUCUAACAUGCCUGCGAGUGUUUGGGUGGAAAACCCGAGCGCGUAAUGAAAGUGAAAGUUGAGAUCCCUGUCGUGGGGAGCAUCGACGCCCGGACCAGACCUUUUGUGACGGUUCCGCGGUAGAGCAUGUAUGUUGGGACCCGAAAGAUGGUGAACUAUGCCUGAAUAGGGUGAAGCCAGAGGAAACUCUGGUGGAGGCUCGUAGCGAUUCUGACGUGCAAAUCGAUCGUCAAAUUUGGGUAUAGGGGCGAAAGACUAAUCGAACAUCUAGUA